UACGAAGGGAGCUAGCGUUGUUCGGAAUUACUGGGCGUAAAGGGCGCGUAGGCGGACAUCUAAGUCAGGGGUGAAAUCCCAGGGCUCAACCCUGGAAUUGCCUUUGAUACUGGACGUCUCGAGUUCGGGAGAGGUGAGUGGAAUUCCGAGUGUAGAGGUGAAAUUCGUAGAUAUCAGGAGGAACACCGGUGGCGAAGGCGGCUUUCUGGACACUUACUGACGCUGAGACGCGAAAGCGUGGGGAGCAAACAGG
rnacentral:rRNA from 1 species